GACGAACGCUGGCGGCGUGCUUAACACAUGCCAGUCGAACGGAAAGGCCUGCUUUCCCUUGUGGAUUGCGGGUACUCGAGUGGCGAACGGGUGAGUAACACGUGAGUGAUCUGCCCCCAACUUGGGUAUAAGCCUGGGAAACUGGGUCUAAUUCCCGAUAGGACUGCAGGGUGGUGCCUGUGGUGGAAAACGAUUUUCUAGUGGUUGGGGAUGAGCUCGCGGCCUAUCAGCUUGUUGGUGGGGUAAUGGCCUACCAAGGCGGCGACGGGUAGCCGGCCUGAGAGGGUGGACGGCCACAUUGGGACUGAGAUACGGCCCAGACUCCUACGGGAGGCAGCAGUGGGGAAGAUUGCACAAUGGGCGGAAGCCUGAUGCAGCGACGCCGCGUGGGGGAUGACGGCCUUCGGGUUGUAAACUCCUUUCGACCGCGAGGAAGCCACCUGGCUGGAAGGGUGGUGACGGUAGUGGUAGAAGAAGCACCGGCUAACUACGUG
rnacentral:rRNA from 1 species